GCACGCCUGUCGGGACCCGAAAGAUGGUGAACUAUGCCUGAGCGGGGCGAAGCCAGAGGAAACUCUGGUGGAGGCUCGAAGCGAUACUGACGUGCAAAUCGUUCGUCUGACUUGGGUAGUGGGGCGAAAGACUAAUCGAACCAUCUAGUAGCUGGUUCCCUCCGAAGUUUCCCUCAGGAUAGCUGGAGCCCAUUACGAGUUCUAUCAGGUAAAGCCAAUGAUUAGAGGCAUUGGGGACGCAACGUCCUCGACCUAUUCUCAAACUUUAAA
rnacentral:ncRNA from 1 species